rnacentral:rRNA from 1 species
GAUGAACGCUGGCGGCGUGCCUAAUACAUGCAAGUCGAGCGAACGGACGAGAAGCUUGCUUCUCUGAUGUUAGCGGCGGACGGGUGAGUAACACGUGGAUAACCUACCUGUAAGACUGGGAUAACUUCGGGAAACCGGAGCUAAUACCGGAUAAUAUUUUGAACCGCAUGGUUCAAAAGUGAAAGACGGUCUUGCUGUCACUUAUAGAUGGAUCCGCGCUGCAUUAGCUAGUUGGUAAGGUAACGGCUUACCAAGGCAACGAUGCAUAGCUGACCUGAGAGGGUGAUCGGCCACACUGGAACUGAGACACGGUCCAGACUCCUACGGGAGGCAGCAGUAGGGAAUCUUCCGCAAUGGGCGAAAGCCUGACGGAGCAACGCCGCGUGAGUGAUGAAGGUCUUCGGAUCGUAAAACUCUGUUAUUAGGGAAGAACAUAUGUGUAAGUAACUGUGCACAUCUUGACGGUACCUAAUCAGAAAGCCACGGCUAACUACGUG